rnacentral:rRNA from 1 species
AGGACGAACGCUGGCGGCGUGCUUAACACAUGCAAGUCGAACGGAUCAUCUUCGGGUGGUUAGUGGCGAACGGGUGAGUAACACGUGGGUAACCUACCCCAGACUCUGGGAUAACUCCGGGAAACCGGGGCUAAUACCGGAUAUCACAUUUGGUUGCAUGACCGGGUGUUGAAAGUUUUUCGGUCUGGGAUGGGCCCGCGGCCUAUCAGCUUGUUGGUGGGGUGAUGGCCUACCAAGGCGUCGACGGGUAGCCGGCCUGAGAGGGCGACCGGCCACACUGGGACUGAGACACGGCCCAGACUCCUGCGGGAGGCAGCAGUGGGGAAUAUUGCGCAAUGGGCGGAAGCCUGACGCAGCGACGCCGCGUGAGGGAUGACGGCCUUCGGGUUGUAAACCUCUUUCAGCACAGACCAAGGCUUCAUUUUUGUGGGUUGAGUGUAUGUGCAGAAGAAGCACCGGCUAACUACGUGCCAGCAGCCGCGGUAA